CGAUCAGUGAUGUUGAGCAUCUUUUCAUGUCUGUUGGCCAUGUGUAUGUCUUCUUCGGAAAAAUGUCUAUUCAUGUCUUCUUCCCAUUUUUAAAUUGGUUGGUGACUUUUGUAAGCAUGUGCAUUUUGGAUAUGUAUGACCUGAGUUUGAGUAGCUCUCCCACUCACUAGCUACAUGAUCUUGGGAAAUUUACAUCAUUUCCAAGUCUCAGCUUUAUCCUCUGUACAGUGAUAUUAAGAAUAGUACAUACUUUAUAGGGUUAGUGGAAGUAAUAAAUGAGCUAUAUGUAAAACACUUGGUGAAUGGCUGGUAAAGAAUACUUAUUCAAUAAAUAUUGACUAUCAUCAUCAUCAUUUUUAUUCCAGAUGCUUUUGCCAUUAUUUUCUGGUGGUGGAGGUUGUGGGCAGCUGAGUUUGUUAAUUUGGCUAUCUCUGCCUUUCUGUGUGCUUUCACAAACAUCCCUAGUUCUUGGUGCGGGGAGAAGACAUUAUAAUGGAAAUUGACAAUUCAUAGUAAUUACCACAUUAGUGCCAAUUCAGUCACACUAAUAAGCUGCUGACAGGUGAUGAACAUUACCCUUUAACAAUGAGUCACCUCACUAGUGUUUUAUGACAGUUACUGCAACAAAACAGAAUUUCGAGAACUUAAAUGAGUAAUGUGUUCCAUGAAAAUGUAAAAGAAAAAAAAUUAACAACUCUUGGAUCACAGUAUUAUGUGGUAUUUAUCUCUCAUUUAGGAUUAGGAGACCAGAAACGAAGCCAUGUCCCUUUCACUACUGCUGGUAAUGACAUACAUUCCAAAUGUAUAUCUUAAACCACUUAUUCAUCACAAGGCACACAGAAAUGUUCCAUUAUAUACAUAUUUAUAAGUAUUAUAUGUUACAGGAGGUAUCAGGCUUGUUGAAUAUUUACUAAUGAAAGGAUUUUUUUUCUAAGAUAAAAUCCAGACAAAGGGGAAUGAGAGGUCAAUUGUAGUUUAAAGACAAAAUUGAAAUAGCCUAUCAACUUUUCGAAAAAAAAAAAUCAGGCUCUUUUGGAGGAAUCUUUGCUUAUUGUCAAUGACAGUGUCAACAAAACUAUCUAGUUGGGCUCAUUAAAGGAAGUCUCGAAGCCCAUUUUUGCCAUUGUCUAUAUAUAAGCCACUUGGCUUAGUCAGUAGCUAAAUAAUAAUUAUUAUUGUCAGAUAAACCAGGACAAAAGGGAAUAAUAAAGCUAUUAAGCAGUUAUUUGGAAACUUGACUAUUCAAAGGAAGAGAAAGCAGAAUAAAAAACAAUUUUGCUCCUUGUGCCAAGAGAUAUUUUUGUAAUUUGGGCUGGAAAGGUUGGAACCAUCUUAGAAUGUGAAUUACCACAGAGCAAGGCAUCCUACUUCCAAGAGGAAAUGGUGCGUUUGCUUCAAUUUCGCUAGCUUAGGUGGCUUUGGCCAGUUUGGGAGGUGAUGGUUGUAGAGAGAGAAAGGGGGAGAGGGAGAGACACGAAGAGUUACAGAGCACACUAGCCUGUUGUCUUAUCUGUAAAAACUGACACCUCAAAUUCAAAUUACAGUUCUACUGUUUGCUAUCAGGACUUUUGAAGCACUCUCUGUGCUUCAAUGUAUAAAAUGAUGAAUUAUGAGAAUUAAAUGAGUGAAUACUAGUAAAUUGCUAAGGAAAGUGCCUGGAACAUAGAGAAGCUAUUAUUAUUUUUUUAUUUUUAUCAUCAUCAUUACUAUUAAUUGCUUGAGCAUAAAGAGUGGCAGACUUUCAGGUGAAUGUCUGUUCUUUUCUAUGUCAUUUGCUAAAGUACAUUUUCCUCCUAUUCCUUUGCUCUCUUUUCUUCCUGUGAGCAGCACGUCUUUAGCUAAAACUAGGACUGAUUAACCAGAGUGGAUUCCAUUUUUUCCAGAGUUAUUGAUAUUAAUUCUUAUUGAACAUGGAAAAUCUGAAGCUGUUUAAAAGUGGAAACAUUGGCUCAAGCAAAAGGCUGGAAAGGUAUGUUUCAGAGGCUGAAUAAUAUCUGGCAGCACUGAUGGCAGAGGAGUCCCUGAAGCCCUGGACAGGCAUCACUACAGAGGCCUCGGGGAACAAUUCUUCUCAGAGUAAGAUGAGAAAAAAAAGUCUUGCCCCACCUUUGAGCGUAUGGAAUUUACUUUUAGAGCUCUUGGAAGGAUUUCGUGGUGAUUUAGAGACAUUAGACAUUUGAAUAUUCCAGUUUUAUAAUUACAUUUGCACCUAAAUUGGAUUUCUAUUCGUGUAAAAAAAAUUCACUUUUAAAAUAUUUCUUCAUUUGAUAUUAUAAAGACUGUGGAGAACAAUAGAAAAAAUAAGGGGGAUAUCAGUCAAACAGAUGUGAAUUUGGUUUCAGAAUUUUGACCUAAAUUCAACCUAAAUUGUAUUCCUUUGGGUAAAUUUUCUUUUUACAUGCAACAAUUGCUCAAAAUCAACACUAGGUGGUGGUGGCAUCACGUUUCUUACUGAUUUCACUUCUGUCACAUUUAAUGUUUUCCUAAGGUUUCCAACUUGCUUUGAUUUGUUUGUUUCAGCAAUUAUGCUAUGUGUGUGUUCAGGAUUAUUGCAAAAACAAAUAAAACAACAGCAGAAAACAAAAAUAACUAUUUCAAACAAUUUUUCAGAGACAGUUUAGAAAGGAAAUUAUGGGUUUAAGAAAAUGUGCUAAUCUCUGAUUAUUGAAUUUUUAGGAUAUCCUAUGUUCUUAGAUACCAAAAGAGGGUGCUCUAAUACAUCUUAAAAAUACACUUCUUAGAAAUACAAAGGCUGCAACUUUUUCUUCCAUGCAACAAAGAGUUCUUUUUUCUGUAUAACAGGGGCAACUUUCUUUUUUUUUUAAUUUAAGAUGGUUAUGCACAAAUGUCUUAUUCAUUAAAAUCAAGUUAAAAACAGUUCUGAAUUCUCUACAGUCUUAGAUUAGAAUUGGCCUUUGAUGUUUUUAAAGUUAAAAGUGCUAUUUUCAAUUUGACUUUGAGACUUUGAAAAGCCCCUGGCAGCUUGAGCACAAGUAAAUGGUAUAUGAAUGUGUGGCUUUAUUCUCGAUUUAAUUAAAAAUAUCUUCUAUCACUUCAGAGUUUCCCCUCCACUUAGGAGGAAGAUGAGUCUCAUGAAAAUAUAAUGUGGGUUAACUAAGUGAUUAUUCCUGGUCUCCUGAAGGCAGAAAGGGAAAUAGGGAAAACUUUUCCCAUAAAUUCCCUUGCAUGUUGUGUGGGAAACUUGCAUGCACAAAGGGGGUGUUGGCCAGAUAGUCGUGGCAGAGUCCCUGCUGGAGGUGAGAGGCCUUGAGCACAGCUUCUUGAUAUCUCUGGAGUGCUGUCACUGGACCCAAGUUCCAGAUUCAGUGAUAGGCCACAUGUGGGUGAGCAGGGAAGAGAAGGGAGAGACAACGCUUAAUAUGCAUUAAUAGCUAACACUCAAUAUACGUUAAAGACUUUUACCAGGGCUUUAUGUGUGUUGGUUUACUUAAUUCUCUUAACAGCACAACAUAUGAAAAAAACAGGCCAGACAAAUCCUUGCCCAAGGCCAUACUAGUAAAUGGCAAAGCCAAGUUUCAAACCAAAGCAGGUUGAAUCCAGAAUCUGUGCUUUUAACCACUAACUUGUAUCACCUUUCCAAAGGAGAGCAAACACAGUGUGAACUAUAUGCCGAGUGCUGUUUUAAGUGCCUUACCCACGCACACUCUCUUAAUUCUCAUAAUGCUGAUGUAGGCGUUACUGUCCCCAUUUCACAGCUGAAGAAACUGAGGCACAGGCCAGUAAAAAGUUUAAGAUAAUGAUUGAAGUUGAGGGUGUGCUUAAAGGCAAGAUUUUAAAACAAAGUCUGUUUAAAGAAUACUCAGCAGCCUCAGAAUUGAGCCCUGAACUCCUUUCUCCUUUUUCCUUUGCCUUGGGGUUUUCUUACUUCCAUAGAUGCCGCUGCCUGCAGGCUGUCCCCGAGCCACAUUGCCUCUCUUUGGUGGUUUUGGUCUAGGUAUGGGGAUUAGUUUCCUCUUUUGAUGCUUCCUAUCAUGGCUGGGGUUUUUGAAACCCAUGCCCUUAAAUAGAACAAGAGACGCUAACUUCCUCUGCUGAGCACUACAUGCUGAGAUGGUGCUGCUUUUGCACCAAGGUUCUGGGGCAACUUCACAGAAGCGUACCUUCUUCCCAGCUCCAGCCUGCCCUCCGUAGUUACCAUCUUCCUACCAGUCUUCCCCUUUCCCCCCACAGCCAAGAUGGCUUUGGGUCCCCUCCCCAAAUGUUUGUCCCCCCCCACUGGUAAUUGACAAAAUGAACGGUCCCACUCUGCCAGUGAGAACGCCUGCUUUCUUACAGCAAUGGAUGUUUAGGUGGUUGGUCAGGAGAUAAUGUGAGCCUGUGUUGGGGUGGGGGGGAAGGGAGUCUGUUUCACCAGAGGCUAUAGACCCCAAGGAGAUAGCUUAGUAGUUACUUCACUUAAUUAGCAGAAAAUGAGGCCCAGUGGUUUGGAUGAUUCUGUCACCAAGAGUGACAGAAAAUCCAAAAAAGAAAGAAAGAGAGGUUCUUUUUCAUUUACAGGUUCUUUUCAAAUACAAGCAGUCUUUAUUUCUUGGAACUUUGGUUUUCUUACAUGUAGAAUGAAGUUAUUUAGAAGGCCUCUAAAUCUUACCUAACUCUGUUAGUUUCUUAUUUUCAGGCACAUUUUAAGAGCUGCUGUGAGAAAAUGAAAUUGGCUAUCAGCAAUAGUGGAAUGUACACUUUUAACUUGAAAACAAAUUGAUAUUUUGUUUUGUUUGUUUUUAAUUUUAUUUCUGGGUCUUUCAGUUUUCCAGGUAAGAGGAGGCAGACUGGACAUUGUGUGUCCAGUCUUCACAACUGCAUCUUCAACAAAUGAGUGAUAAUAUAAAUUUGCAGUAUUAAAUGAAAAAAUGAUCAGAGAUUCCAUAACAAGUAAUACUAUAUAAAACUUUGACUUAAUUUAAUUAAAUUGAGUGCCUUUCUAAAGCUGUUGUCCCUCCCCCGUCACUGUUUCUUCAAGAUAUGGAAAUUGGCAACUCUCCACUGAUACAUGUCUGACUUACCUAUGUCCUGAAACACCGUCUCACACUUAGUAAGGAACCACAUUAUCUGAGUGGCCAGUGACCAUAAGGACAUUACUCUCCCUUUCUUAAGACUUUAUCCCUUGACAUAAUCUAUUACCCCUCACCUUGUCUGGUCCUUAUUCUUAGAUGGCUCUGGAAUUUGAGGUCUUUGGCAAUGAUGGUCAGAAAAGACAGGAGGGGAGACCACAGUGGCUGCCUUUCUAGAUGCUCUUUUCAGAGUAUCUACUGCUGGCCCAGCUGCAAAUAAUAGACAAUACAAUUGGUGGGAUGUAAAGAGCAUUUCAAAUGUGAACGAAGGCUGAGAGGAGGCAGAAAUGCACAUGGCGUAUUUGGAGAUAAGUGGGCUGGCGUGGUUGACACUGAGGUGCAGAGAGUAGUGAGACACUUGGGA